GGAGGAAUAUUGGUCAAUGGGCGGGAGCCUGAACCAGCCAAGCCGCGUGAGGGAGGAAGGCCCUAUGGGUCGUAAACCUCUUUUGUCAGGGAACAAAAGCGAGUAUGUAUACUAGUCUGAGUGUACCUGAAGAAAAACGCAUCGGCUAACUCCGUGCCAGCAGCCGCGGUAAUACGGAGGAUGCGAGCGUUAUCCGGAUUUAUUGGGUUUAAAGGGUGCGUAGGCGGCGGUGCAAGUCAGCGGUAAAAGCCCGGGGCUCAACCCCGGCGAGCCGUUGAAACUGCAGUGCUAGAGAAGGCGAGAGGUACGCGGAAUGCGCAGUGUAGCGGUGAAAUGCUUAGAUAUUGCGCAGAACUCCGAUUGCGAAGGCAGCGUACUGGCGCCUGACUGACGCUGAGGCACGAAAGCGUGGGGAUCGAACAGGAUUAGAUACC
rnacentral:rRNA from 1 species